GGCACGAAAGAAGGAAAAAGAAAAUAGCUUUGCAUUUUAAUUAAGUGUAAGUGUGAGUGUUUGAUUUUGUAGUAUAGUUAUGGCCUUAUUUAACCGUUGUGAUUCAUGCAUGAGUAGAAAGAAAUGGAGCUUUAGCUGUAGUUAUUUGAUUUGUAAUUGAAAUAAUAGGACACUGAAAAUUUCUUUGAAGGGUGCAAGUUAUAUUUAUUGAGUUGGAUUAUUAAGUGCCGAAUUUGAAGUCUAAUGGAAAGUUAUAUUUUGAGCAUAGAAUUUGCAGGCAAAUGACCACCUUUUUUUAUUUCUGUAUGAGCUAUUUAUAGACUGAAUCCUGAUGGAAAUUCACUUACAUGAUUGAGGUCGGUAAGGCCAUUGAACUAACUGACUACUGUGCACACUGCACUUUCUAUUUGAAAGAAAGUAGCCAAUUGCAAUGCUGUGUGACUCUCUGUGGGAGUGAAAUUUUGUGCUUUUUUUGACAGUUUAAUUUUGACACUCUUUUUUUCUUCUAGGUUAUCAAUAUUCGAUAGUGUAUCAAAACUAUACUAUUAUCUAUUUCGUUUCCUCUACUCUUAUUUAUGAAUGUUGUUUGGACUGGUUUCUUUUGGUUGAUUUAUGCAACAAUUUCUUUUUUUCUGAUUUUCUCUCUUUGGUCGAUUAUUCAGGGCCUGUUGCUGAAGACAUGU
rnacentral:misc_RNA from 1 species